rnacentral:rRNA from 1 species
GACGAACGCUGGCGGCGUGCUUAACACAUGCAAGUCGAACGGAAAGGCCCUGCUUUUGUGGGGUGCUCGAGUGGCGAACGGGUGAGUAACACGUGAGUAACCUGCCCUUGACUUUGGGAUAACUUCAGGAAACUGGGGCUAAUAUCGGAUAGGAGCUCCUGCUGCAUGGUGGGGGUUGGAAAGUUUCGGCGGUUGGGGAUGGACUCGCGGCUUAUCAGCUUGUUGGUGGGGUAGUGGCUUACCAAGGCUUUGACGGGUAGCCGGCCUGAGAGGGUGACCGGCCACAUUGGGACUGAGAUACGGCCCAGACUCCUACGGGAGGCAGCAGUGGGGAAUAUUGCACAAUGGGCGGAAGCCUGAUGCAGCAACGCCGCGUGCGGGAUGACGGCCUUCGGGUUGUAAACCGCUUUCGCCUGUGACGAAGCGUGAGUGUCGGUAAUGGGUAAAGAAGCACCGGCUAACUACGUG